CGGUUGAUCCUGCCAGAGGUUACUGCUAUCGAGAUUCGACUAAGCCAUGCGAGUUGAAUGUUCUUCGUGAACAUGGCGGACUGCUCAGUAACACGUGGACAACCUACCCUUGGGUCCGGCAUAAUCCUGGGAAACUGGGAAUAAUUCCGGAUAGGUCACCGAUGCUGGAAUGCGCGGUGGCCGAAAGCUCCGGCGCCCGAGGAUGGGUCUGCGGCCUAUCAGGGUUGUAGUGGGUGUAACGUACCUACUAGCCUACGACGGGUACGGGUUGUGAGAGCAAGAGCCCGGAGAUGGAUUCUGAGACACGAAUCCAGGCCCUACGGGGUGCAGCAGGCGCGAAAACUUUACAAUGCGGGAAACCGUGAUAAGGGGAUCUCGAGUGCCAGCAUAUAAUGUUGGCUGUCCAGAUGCCUAAAAAGCAUCUGUUAGCAAGGGCCGGGCAAGACCGGUGCCAGCCGCCGCGGUAACACCGGCGGCCCGAGUGGUAACCGCUAUUAUUGGGUCUAAAGGGUCUGUAGCCGGCCAGGUAAGUCCCUUGGGAAAUCUGGCAGCUCAACUGUCAGGCUGCUAGGGGAUACUGUUUGGCUUGGGACCGGGAGAGGUGAGAGGUACCUUGGGGGUAAGGGGUGAAAAUCUUGUGAUCCUCGAGGGACCACCAGUGGCGAAGGCGUCUCACCAGAACGGGUCCGACGGUAAGGGACGAAAGCUAGGGGCACGAACCGGAUUAGAUACCCGGGUAGUCCUAGCCGUAAACGAUGCUCGCUAGGUGUCAGUCACGGUGCGACCGUGAUUGGUGCCGUAGGGAAGCCGUGAAGCGAGCCACCUGGGAAGUAUGGCCGCAAGGCUGAAACUUAAAGGAAUUGGCGGGGGAGCACUACAACGGGUGGAGCCUGCGGUUUAAUUGGAUUCAACGCCGGAAAUCUCACCGGGGGCGACAGCGAUAUGAAGGUCAGGCUGAAGACUUUACCGGAUUAGCUGAGAGGUGGUGCAUGGCCGUCGUCAGUUCGUACUGUGAAGCAUCCUGUUAAGUCAGGCAACGAGCGAGACCCA
rnacentral:rRNA from 1 species